GAUGAACGCUAGUGGCAGGCCUAACACAUGCAAGUCGAGGGGUAGAAGGAGCUUGCUCCUUUGAGACCGGCGCACGGGUGCGUAACGCGUAUGCAAUCUACCAUUUACAGAGGGAUAGCCCAGAGAAAUUUGGAUUAAUACCUCAUAGUAUAUAUCAUUCGCAUGUUUGGUAUAUUAAAGUUCCAACGGUAAAAGAUGAGCAUGCGUCCCAUUAGUUAGUUGGUAAGGUAACGGCUUACCAAGACGAUGAUGGGUAGGGGUCCUGAGAGGGAGAUCCCCCACACUGGUACUGAGACACGGACCAGACUCCUACGGGAGGCAGCAGUGAGGAAUAUUGGUCAAUGGACGCAAGUCUGAACCAGCCAUGCCGCGUGCAGGAAGACGGUCCUAUGGAUUGUAAACUGCUUUUGUACGGGAAGAAACACUCCUACGUGUAGGAGCCUGACGGUACCGUAAGAAUAAGGAUCGGCUAACUCCGUGCCAGCCGCCGCGGUAACAC
rnacentral:rRNA from 1 species